rnacentral:piRNA from 1 species
UUCCAUAUAACAUGUGUCAACAUGGGC